AUUGAACGCUGGCGGCAGGCCUAACACAUGCAAGUAGAACGAGUGGCGGACGGGUGAGUAAUGUCUGGGAAACUGCCUGAUGGAGGGGGAUAACUACUGGACACGGUAGCUAAUACCGCAUACCAUCAGAUGUGCCAAGAUGGGAUGAGCAAGUUGGUGGGGUAACGGCUCACCAAGGAGACGAUCCCUAGCUGGUCGGAAAGGAUGACCAGCCAAACUGGAACUGAGACACGGUCCAGACCCCGACGGGAGGCAGCAGUGGGGAAUAUUGCACAAUGGGCGCAAGCCUGAUGCAGCCAUGCCCCGUGUAUGAAGAAGGCCGUCGGGUUGUAAAGUACUUUCAGCGGGGAGGCGUUACCCGCAGAAGAAGCACCGGCUAACUCCGUGCCAGCAGCCGCGGUAAUUC
rnacentral:rRNA from 1 species